UCUAUCCAACAAAGAAAUAGCCAUUCAAAUGACCAUAAUACCCCUCACCUUCCACAAGCUCAAAAAAAAUACAUGUGGCAUAUGCAUUAAAUGCUACCAUCUUCCCUCUACUUUCCUAAAGAAAGAAGAACAAAAGUCAAAUGAAACUCUCAUCCUCUUGACAAAGAAUGAAUGGAAAGAAUGACUACAAAUCAGUUUGCUUCACCCGCAUCUUUUCAUCAAAAUUUAAUGCUCAGCACAACAAAGAUCUAGGAAAGUUAUGUUUUUUGUUAAGAAGAACAACAUUGCAACACAUGUAUUUCACUUUUCGGUGCGGUGGUUACAGAAGAAAAUAUUCUAAUCUUCAUUUUUAUGUUGUGGGUUUUGUAGAGAAUGCGGAGAAAAGUCACUUUAUGGUGAUGUUUUUUCAAAAUUGGGUCGUUACAAUAUACGUCACACUGCAUGUCUUAAAGUUUAAGUUUGUCAUGGGAUAUCAUGAACAUGUCUUAAAGAUGAAUAUUUUAAAAUAACUAUUAUAGACAAAAAACCAUUAUGAGUGCCGCUAUUGUAGUAAAGUUUUAAUUGAAAAUAAUAUAGUAAAAGAUUUUCGCUA